rnacentral:rRNA from 1 species
UACGGGGGGGGUAAGCGUUGUUCGGAAUUACUGGGCGUAAAGGGCUCGUAGGCGGCCAACUAAGUCAGACGUGAAAUCCCUCAGCUUAACUGGGGAACUGCGUCUGAUACUGGAUGGCUUGGAUUCGGGAGAGGAAUGCGGAAUUCCAGGUGUAGCGGUGAAAUGCGUAGAGAUCCGGAGGAACACCAGUGGCGAAGGCGACACGCUGGGCCGUACCUGACGCUAAAGCGCGACAGCAUGGGGAGCAAACGGG